rnacentral:rRNA from 1 species
AACACGUGAGUAACCUGCCCCUGACUCUGGGAUAAGCCUGGGAAACUGGGUCUAAUACCGGAUACGACCAUCUGGCGCAUGUCAUGGUGGUGGAAAGCUUUUGUGGUUUUGGAUGGACUCGCGGCCUAUCAGCUUGUUGGUGGGGUAAUGGCCUACCAAGGCGACGACGGGUAGCCGGCCUGAGAGGGUGACCGGCCACACUGGGACUGAGACACGGCCCAGACUCCUACGGGAGGCAGCAGUGGGGAAUAUUGCACAAUGGGCGCAAGCCUGAUGCAGCGACGCCGCGUGAGGGAUGACGGCCUUCGGGUUGUAAACCUCUUUCAGUAGGGAAGAAGCGAAAGUGACGGUACCUGCAGAAGAAGCGCCGGCUAACUACGUGCCAGCAGCCGCGGUAAUACGUAGGGCGCAAGCGUUAUCCGGAAUUAUUGGGCGUAAAGAGCUCGUAGGCGGUUUGUCGCGUCUGCUGUGAAAGACCGGGGCUCAACUCCGGUUCUGCAGUGGGUACGGGCAGACUAGAGUGCAGUAGGGGAGACUGGAAUUCCUGGUGUAGCGGUGAAAUGCGCAGAUAUCAGGAGG